AGGCAAGACCUCCGGCGAAGCUGUCAAGAGAACGGUAGAGAGGCUAGUGGAGGAUGGAGGAGCCCGAGGAAGAUGAGGGGUGCGCGGAGAGCCCGGAGCGGGCGGCCGGGGAGUCCACGGCAGAGCUUGGCGAAGAUGUCAUUGGAAAGAGAGCGGCUUCAGAGCCAGGAGCUGGUAAGAAAAUUGGGCACCGUGGAGUAGAUGCGUCAGGAGAAACCACCUAUAAAAAGACCACAUCAUCAACAUUAAAAGGUGCCAUACAAUUGGGUAUUGGCUAUACUGUGGGCAAUCUGAGUUCCAAACCAGAGAGGGAUGUCCUGAUGCAAGAUUUCUAUGUUGUUGAGAGCAUCUUCUUUCCUAGUGAAGGCAGCAAUCUUACUCCUGCCCAUCAUUACCCGGACUUUCGCUUUAAGACAUAUGCCCCUGUGGCUUUCAGAUAUUUUCGAGAACUCUUUGGAAUUCGCCCAGAUGACUAUUUGUAUUCUCUGUGUAAUGAACCUCUCAUUGAACUCUCCAACCCUGGAGCCAGUGGCUCUUUAUUUUAUGUCACUAGUGAUGAUGAGUUCAUUAUCAAGACUGUCAUGCAUAAAGAAGCGGAGUUCCUGCAGAAAUUGCUGCCCGGAUACUACAUGAACCUGAACCAGAACCCACGGACACUUCUCCCCAAGUUCUACGGUUUGUAUUGUGUUCAGUCUGGUGGGAAGAAUAUCCGUGUUGUGGUCAUGAACAAUAUCCUUCCAAGAGUGGUCCGUAUGCAUUACAAGUAUGACCUAAAGGGUUCCACUUACAAGAGACGUGCCUCUAAGAAAGAGAGGGAGAAACGUAGUCCUACAUACAAAGACCUAGAUUUCAUACAGGAUUCGCCAGAAGGGCUACUCCUCGAUAGUGACACUUUCAGUGCACUGGUUAAGACCAUGCAGAGAGACUGUUUGGUUUUAGAAAGUUUCAAGAUCAUGGAUUACAGCCUUCUUCUAGGCGUGCACAACCUAGAACAACAGGAAAGAGAGAGGCAAGCAGAUGGGGCACAGAGUCCAGCUGAUGAGAAGCGUCCAGUCGCACAGAAGGCACUAUACUCCACAGCAAUGGAAUCCAUUCAGGGAGGAGCAGCUCGUGGGGAAUCAAUAGACACUGAUGACACAAUGGGGGGAAUUCCAGCAGUCAAUGGCAAAGGGGAGCGGCUUUUACUGUACAUAGGAAUUAUUGACAUUUUGCAGUCUUACAGGUUAAUAAAGAAGCUAGAACAUACGUGGAAAGCUCUUGUUCAUGAUGGGGACACGGUGUCUGUACACCGGCCCAGUUUUUAUGCUGAACGGUUCUUUAAAUUCAUGACUAACACAGUGUUCCGAAAAACAUCCUCACUGAAGUCCUCUCCUUCCAAGAAGGGGCGAAGCACUCUACUGGUACCUCGACCCCUGGGACCAUCUGCAGCCUUUUCGACAGGGCUAAUUCCUACAGAACAAGAAGAGGGGAAAUAUGAGCUGCGUGGGGUGCGCAGCUACCCUACAUUAGAGGAUGAUGGUCGUGCCGAUUUACUGCCCUGCACACCUCCAUCUUUUGAGGAAGCCACUACUGCUUCUAUUGCUACUACUUUGUCUUCCACCUCUCUGUCCAUUCCAGAACGCUCUCCAUCUGAAACCUCAGAACACCCUCGUUAUCGAAGGCGUACUCAGUCAUCAGGAUAUGAUGUCAGGGCUUAUGAGGAGACACGAGCAGAAGACAUUCAGCAGGUUUCAGUUGAGGUGGAGCCCAGACCAUCGGAUACUGUGAUUCUACCAGAGGAGGAAAAGCAUGGCGAGGCCUCAGGCUGUACUGGGAGGACAUGUCCAGUUGGAGAAACAGGCAGUCAGCGAUCUGAGGAAGAUGAAGUGCCCGUGACGGACAUAUAUUUUACAUUGACCCUAAUGCAGCUACCCGUGAAGCAUAAUUCUGACACCAUUCACGGAUGGGCGAUAUUGGGUGUAUUCCCCCCGCCUCAACCGGAUACACUCUCCAUCGUCCACUGACUCUCCUCCAGAUGACCGGAGCUGGGUUUAUUCUCCACUCCACUAUAACACCCAGGUUCAGUCUGUCUCGGACGAGGAGAGUGACACAUAAAUACUAUGCAGAUACCUGACAGAAGAAACCCUUGAUACCUUUUGUGUCCCUUCACCCCAGCCUCAGAAACAAUGGAAGGGAGUGAUGAUCAGCCAUGGAAGAAAAGAACUGACCAGUUACCAGACUCAUACAAUAUACUAUGCCGUUGUGUAUUUGUAGUAGUAUUAUCCCUUCCUUGUUGUUCGAGUGCUUUGCCAAACAUUCCCUUUUAUUUUUCAGUCUGUGAAUUUUAUUUGAUUGCCAGAUGACUGGGGACAGAAGCUCAUCCGCUGUAUCUCAGAUGGGCAUCCUGCACUAUUUAUGGAGAGGGAAUAUAUGCAAGGUCUGUGGUGUUCUCUAGCUGAACAUAGAAGUUCCGUUGAUGAUGGAAAGUUCCUGUACACUACAAAUUUAAUGCACCUGGUUGGACCUAUCAUGCUGCAUCUCUGGCUCGGUUUUAUUUUAACACUGCUCCUUGUUUUGUAUGUUUUGAUAUUUAAUCCUUUUUUAGUAUUUAUAUUGCGUGGAGUAAACUGGUGAUAGGAGUGCUAAUAAGGACUGUUUACCUUUUCACGUUUCACUGUUGUGGACUGUUUACAUUGUAGAACUGAUCACCCCCAUUUUUAUUUUAUUUAUUUUUUAAUUUUUUUAAAUAUAAUUUGCACUGCCACAUUUGUAUCUGUGGCUAUAGACUACUGGCGCCUAAAGUCAUUAAAGAUCAGGUCAGAAAAUUGAAUCCAACUGAAAUGCUGGCUGGAUAUCAUUUUGAUUUAUUUCCAUUAAAUCUUGAACUGGGGGAUGAUGUUUUUAGACUUUUAAAAUGUUUUUUUUAUCCAUUGCGUGCUGUUAUAAUUAUAAUCAUUGUGAUGUUCAAGGCCCAUUUUGUUUUCUAUCCUGGUUUCUUUGCUUUCAAGACUUUCUAUACUUUUAUGUAAAUAUCAAAGAAGUUUUUAUUGCUAUUUAAAAACCCACUGCUUAAGGCUACAUGCACACAAACGUUUGCUUCAGUGUCAGUUCCGUUUUUUUUCCCGGAUAGGAUGCGGACCCAUUCAUUUCAAUGGGUCCGCAAAAAUUGCGGACAGCACACA